GAGUUUGAUCUUGGCUCAGAUUGAACGCUGGCGGCAUGCCUCACACAUGCAAGUCGAACGGCAGCAUGAUCUAGCUUGCUAGAUUGAUGGCGAGUGGCGAACGGGUGAGUAAUACAUCGGAACGUGCCCUGUAGUGGGGGAUAACUAGUCGAAAGAUUAGCUAAUACCGCAUACGACCUGAGGGUGAAAGUGGGGGACCGCAAGGCCUCAUGCUAUAGGAGCGGCCGAUGUCUGAUUAGCUAGUUGGUGGGGUAAAGGCCCACCAAGGCGACGAUCAGUAGCUGGUCUGAGAGGACGAUCAGCCACACUGGGACUGAGACACGGCCCAGACUCCUACGGGAGGCAGCAGUGGGGAAUUUUGGACAAUGGGCGAAAGCCUGAUCCAGCAAUGCCGCGUGUGUGAAGAAGGCCU
rnacentral:rRNA from 1 species